rnacentral:lncRNA from 1 species
UGUUGGACUUAGAUAUGAUUUAGGAGAAAACCCGCGAUUCUACCAUGUCAUAUGCUUAAACUACCUGAUUUAGCUCUAGGAGCCGUUGUUUGUUUGUAUCACCGCAGUAUCCGAGCGGUGGAUACCCAGGGUAGUUUAGAAUAUAUUUACGCUCGUGCUGAGGUGCGGAGUGUAUUUUUACAGCAGUGUUUAGGCUGUUCUAGAUUGUCGGGUGCCGUUGGGGUUGACGGUGGGCCCAGAUUGUUGCUUGGCCGUACGCAAGGAGGAGGAGAACCCGGUUACAGCUCGGAUCGACGCCGACGUCGCGCCGGGGAGCCGCGGUGCCGUUCGAGCACGCGUUCAUCGUGGUAGCGUCGCGGGGAGACCGGGCGAGCGUGUGGUUCCGCUGUUUCGACUUCACGCCUGAUUGGGAGUAGCUUUUGAGGUGGGUUAAUCGUUGGUUUACCUUCUAAGUGUAUAUAU